GGGAAUAAGGGUUCGAUUCCGGAAAAGGGAGCCUGAGAAACGGCUACCACAUCCAAGGAAGGCAGCAGGCGCGCAAAUUACCCAAUCCCGACACGGGGAGGUAGUGACAAUAAAUAACAAUAUAGGGCCCUUUCGGGUCUUAUAAUUGGAAUGAGUACAAUUUAAAUCCGUUAACGAGGAACAAUUGGAGGGCAAGUCUGGUGCCAGCAGCCGCGGUAAUUCCAGCUCCAAUAGCGUAUAUUAAAGUUGUUGCAGUUAAAAAGCUCGUAGUUGAACUUCAGACCUGACCGGGCGGUCCGCCUAACGGGGUGUACUGUCUGGCCGGGCCUUUACCUC
rnacentral:rRNA from 1 species